UGUCUCAGUAAUUCAGUGUUGCCAACUCCUCAGUAAGGAAAGUAGCUAUUGGCUGUCCUAAAAGUCGCCAAAUGACGUCAUAGCACAAUUUGCAUAAUUGACCAUGUAAUUGUGAUGGACGCUGUAGAAGAGAGGAAAAAUGUCGUGGGGAGAGACAAAAAGUGAGUAAAAAACACCCUAAAUAUGUUUUGAACUAUAAAUGAACUUUAUUUAUUUAUUUUUUAUGUCACAAUUCCAACCCCCAUCCUUUAUCUGGGCUUGGGACCUGCAAAAGAGACACUGACCGAGUUACUUAUUUUAUUUUAAAUGUUUAAAUUUUUGUUUUUUAUAUUCCCUCCCUGAAUGUUUGCCAGGGCGGGAUCAGCCAGCGGCGGCUUCCCGCAUGUGCUAUUCAUUUGCAGUCUGGACGCGGAGGGGUGAACAUCUCCUGCUCUGACUGCAGCUAGGAGGGACUACUACGCGAGGACUGGGCCGCCUGUCAGUGCUUUGGGAUUGGGAUGGGGGUAGGAGCACCCCGGCAGCAUCCCGGCAACACCCGCUGCUCUUUGAGAAGUAUGCAGUGACUGGAUUGACUGACUAUUCCUCUACCAGAGUGGGGGCCUCGAUGUGAGCCAUGCAUGACCCUAGAGAAGGGCUCCUUCCGGGUGGACCUGCGUCGGUUCCACUCCACCCCACUGCAGCGCCCGCGAGACCAAGCAGCUUAACGUCCUGGUGGAGUGUACGCUCUUCGCACCCUCCAAGGCCAGCGACGACUCGGAGAACUGUGUUGACGGGGCAGAGAGAGAAAGAGAGACGGAGAAGAGGGCAAAGGGAGGAGAAGGAGAAGCGGCCGUCGCACGGUGGGGGCUUCACUAUAGACAACAUCCAAGAGGAACGGGUGAAGUGAAAGAGUGUGAUGGGAGCCAGGAUCAGAUCACUACUCUGUGAUAUCAGAUGCUCUCAGGCCUCCACAUUAACUGAUUAUAUUCGCCUAAGAUAUUUUAAUUUAAAAUAAUAAGCAACUGUAAUUUUAAAUGUAGAACAUUCGUUUAUUUAAGACUGACCGCGUUGAUUGUUUAAAGUGCUGCAUUAGUGAAUACUGCUUUUCAGAUAUCUUUUCAGGUAGAUAGUUCAGAUAAAUUAUGAGGAUAGUUUGGACCAGAUGAAUAAGAUGUUAGAUAUUGUUUAAUAAUGAGAUUAUAGUUUUAUCUAAAAAGUACUAUAAGUAAAAUGGUAGAACACUGACACAGACAACUUGUCAAAAAUAAAUAAAUAUUUAUUUAAAACAUUUAUUCUCUGAAGAGAUAAUAAUUACAAAUCCACUCUGCAUGCCAGCUGCUGUGUAAUGUAUGCCAAAACAAAUCAAUGGUCAUAAAGGUUUGACAGGCUACUGUUUUUUGUUGUUGUUGGGUGUGACUGUGUGAGGAUCUACAUUCAAUAGAAAAACAAGCCAUCUGCCAAAUGAGUACAUUUAUUACAUCAAUACUAUCAUUAAAAUAGCAACGGGCUAAAGCAAAUAGACAGUGCCUAUAGAACGGCUACACACCCCUUGGAUUUAUUCACAUUAUAUUGUGUUACAAAGUGGGAUGAAAAUGGAUUUAAUUGUAUUUUUUGGUCAACGGCCUCCACAAAAUACUCUGUAAUAUUAAAGUGGAAGACACUAAUAUACCUUGAUUAGAUAAGUACAUACGGCUUUGCAUUUAGGCCAAAAAGUGUAUUCCUUUGCCAUGUUUUUGUUGUUGUUGCAGUAUUACUUUAGUGCCUUUAUGCGUGUUUUGGAUUAUUUUUAUUCUGUAUAUUUAUAUUCUUCUUUUCACUCUGUCAUUUAGGUCAUUAUUGUGGAGUCACUACAAUAUUGUUGAUCCAUCCUCCGUCUUCUCCCAUCAGAGCCAUUGAACUCUGUAUUAUUUUAAAAUCCCCAAUGGCCUCAUAAUAACAUCCCUAAGCAGUUUCCUUAAUGUCCUGCAGCUCAGAAGGACGACUGCAUCUUUGAUGUUUCUGGGUGGUUUAAUACAUAAUCCACAGCAUAAUUAUUCAUUUGACCAUGCUUAAAGAUAUAAUCAAUGUCUGAUUUGUUAUUGUUACCCAUCUUCCAAUCACUGGUCAUCUUUGAGGCUUUCAAAAAUCUCCCUCGUCUUUGUAGUUUAAUCUGUGCUUCAAAUUCAAUACUUGGCUGAGGGACCUUACAUAUGUUGUAUGUAUGGAGGACAGAGCAAGGG